GGUAGAACCUUUUUUUAUAACACUUACUUAGCACUGUCAGAUAUAUGGGUGUUCCACCCAAAACUUAAAGUGUACCAAAUAGCGCUAUAAGUGUUCCAUAUAUGGCUAUAAUAUGAAAUAUCAGGUCUCCACUAUAAAAAUGGUCAUAUGACUACUAGAUAUAUGGGUGUGACCUACACCACUAUAGACGCAUCUCGGUAAAGUUAUGGGUAGAGCCUUUUCUUAUACCACUUACUUAGCAUUGUCAGAUAUAUGGGUGUUCCACCCAAGACUUAAAGUGUACUGAAUAGCCUUAUAAGUAUUCCGUUUCUGGCUAUAAUGUGAAAAAUCAAGUCUCCACUAUAAAAGUGGUCAUAUCACUACUAGAUAUAGGGGUGUGCCAUAUACCAUUCUAGAUGCACCUCGGUAAAGUUAUAGAUAGACCCUUUUCUUAUAACAUUUACUUAGCACCGUCAGAUAUAUAGGUGUUCCAACCAAGACUUAAAGUGUACCGAAUAGCCUUAUCAGUAUUCCGUUUCUGGCUAUAAUGUGAAAAAUCAAGUCUCCACUAUAAAAGUGGUCAUAUCACUAUUAGAUAUAGGGGUGUGCCAUACACCACUCUAGAUGCACCUCGAUAAAGCUAUAGCUAGAGCUUUUAUUUUGA
rnacentral:lncRNA from 1 species